GAUGAACGCUGGCGGCGUGCUUAACACAUGCAAGUCGAACGGAAAGGCCCAAGCUUGCUUGGGUACUCGAGUGGCGAACGGGUGAGUAACACGUGGGUGAUCUGCCCUGCACUUCGGGAUAAGCCUGGGAAACUGGGUCUAAUACCGGAUAGGACCACAUUUUGGAUGGUGUGGUGGAAAGUUUUUCGGUGUGGGAUGAGCUCGCGGCCUAUCAGCUUGUUGGUGGGGUAAUGGCCUACCAAGGCGUCGACGGGUAGCCGGCCUGAGAGGGUGUACGGCCACAUUGGGACUGAGAUACGGCCCAGACUCCUACGGGAGGCAGCAGUGGGGAAUAUUGCACAAUGGGCGCAAGCCUGAUGCAGCGACGCCGCGUGGAGGAUGACGGCCUUCGGGUUGUAAACUCCUUUCGCUAGGGACGAAGCGUUAUGUGACGGUACCUGGAGAAGAAGCACCGGCUAACUACGUG
rnacentral:rRNA from 1 species